rnacentral:rRNA from 1 species
AUAUUGGUCAAUGGGUGCAAGCCUGAACCAGCCAUCCCGCGUGAAGGACGACUGCCCUAUGGGUUGUAAACUUCUUUUGUAUAGGGAUAAACCUACCCUCGUGAGGGUAGCUGAAGGUACUAUACGAAUAAGCACCGGCUAACUCCGUGCCAGCAGCCGCGGUAAUACGGAGGGUGCAAGCGUUAUCCGGAUUUAUUGGGUUUAAAGGGUCCGUAGGCGGACUUAUAAGUCAGUGGUGAAAGCCUGUCGCUUAACGAUAGAACCUCCAUUGAUACUGUAAGUCUUGAGUAUAUUUGAGGUAGCUGGAAUAAGUAGUGUAGCGGUGAAAUGCAUAGAUAUUACUUAGAACACCGAUUGCGAAGGCAGGUUACUAAGAUAUAACUGACGCUGAGGGACGAAAGCGUG